rnacentral:lncRNA from 11 species
UAUAGGGGUGGGUAACAUGUCCCAUUGGCCUAUGGCAGUCCUAAUGGUGUUUUCUUGUGUUCCCAGUGGUCACUCCUAGUCCAGUUCCACACAAACUAGAGCCAAAGGUCAUCACUGUGGGCACCAUGGCGGGCAUCAUCGUCGGCUGCCUGAUCGGGUCCGUCUUAAUCGUAGGCCUGAUCACGUACCAGACCAUGAAACAAUCAGAAAGCUUUGGUUCUGGAGAAGGUAGAAGCCCCCAUACAACAUCCAAACCUGGGAGCCAGCAGAGACUAAGCAUUCAUAACCUUGGACCUGUACCUGCACCCCAGUAAGUACUGGACCUGAAAGACAUGUUACAUUUAUAUGGUUUUGUUGCCAUGUAUGAGAACCCAUUGGG